GCCUGGUGGUAGAGCUAAAGGAGGAAGUAGAAAGGCUGAGGAGCAUCUGGGAUUGUGGGAAGGGGAUUGAUUGGUGGAGUCACACUCUGCCAUCCCUACAGGAAGGGUGUGGGGGAGAUGCUCCUCAAGCAGUGGGGGAUCAUCUGCUGUCUCACAGUCAGGUGGGAAGGGGUGACCUCAAAGACAGCAAGGGAUGGAAACAAGUCCCUGUUUGGGGCAACAAGCGGACUGCCCCUCAUCCUGUCCCACCUUCCCAGGUACCUUACAUAACAGGUAUGAGGCUCUGGAGCUGGAGUGACUGGGGGAUGUGGAUGUUGGUGGAAGUCCAUCCAUGCAGGAGAGGUUGCCCAAGGCUAGUCAGUCUGCUCCCCGUUUUGAUAUGUCAGUCAGGAAAAAAAGAAGGGCUGUCAUCAUAGGGGACUCCCUUCUGAG
ensembl:lncRNA